rnacentral:rRNA from 1 species
AGGACGAACGCUGGCGGCGUGCUUAACACAUGCAAGUCGAACGGAAAGGCCCCUUCGGGGGUACUCGAGUGGCGAACGGGUGAGUAACACGUGGGCAACCUGCCCUCAGCUUCGGGAUAACACUUGGAAACAGGUGCUAAUACCGGAUAAUAACUUGUCAUCGCAUGGUGGUGGGUUCAAAGUUUUUCGGCUGAGGAUGGGCCCGCGGCCUAUCAGCUUGUUGGUGGGGUAAUGGCCUACCAAGGCGACGACGGGUAGCCGGCCUGAGAGGGCGACCGGCCACACUGGGACUGAGACACGGCCCAGACUCCUACGGGAGGCAGCAGUGGGGAAUAUUGCGCAAUGGGCGGAAGCCUGACGCAGCGACGCCGCGUGAGGGAUGACGGCCUUCGGGUUGUAAACCGUCUUUCAGCUCUGACGAAGCGCAAGUGACGGUAGGAGCAGAAGAAGCACCGGCCAACUACGCGCCAGCAGCCGC